CGAUCCUCCAGCCACAGCCUACCGAAGUGCUGGGAUUACAGGCGUGGGCCCCCACACCCAGCCCCUACUCCUUAAGUGUGAGCUGUGUGUAGUGACUUCCUUCCAAAGAGUCCAGUAUGGAAAGAGAGGAAAAAAAAGUAACUUUACAGUGGAGAAACCUGACGAACACCAUCUCAGCCAGGUGAUCAAGGUCAACAUCAACAGUGACAAGUCACGCUGAUAUUAAGAGCAUGAAAUUUUGACAGGACCCGAUGAGAAUGGUACUUCACUUCUGUGGUCUUCCUCUCUAAAAUGCAUAAUCCCAAUCUAAUCAUGACACAAACAUCAAACACUUCCAGUGGAGGAACAUUCUACAAAUACCUGACCAGUGCUUCUCAAAGCUGUCAAGAUCAUCAAAAGCAAGGAAAGUCUAAGAAACUGUCACAGCCAAGAGCAACCUAAGGAAAUAUGACAACUAAAUGUGAUGUCAUAUCCUGGAUGGGAUCCUGAAACAGAACAUGUCAGUAGGAAAACAGAAGUCUGCACUUCCCAGCUCCCUGCAAGGGAUCACAUGACUGGAGUCUCUCUAGCAAAAGUGCUGUGUGUCACUUCCGGACCACAAUACAGAGGAGCAGGUAAGAGAUCUCCAAGCCUCAGUGAAGCCCGAAGCCACCGAACUCCUAUCGGCCUUGAUAUCUGAAUGACUGGGUGGAAAACAGCUCCCCCUGACCCCCAACUCACAAUGAACAUGGGCAGAAAUUAAAUCAUAGUUACCUGGGGCAGGGGUCCGGGAGUGGAGAAGGAUGGCGCAGGGAGGAUCCCAGGCUUGGAAGAGGUGGACGAGGAGGCCUUUAGCCUAGCAUUUUUGUCUUUCCACAAAGAGAAUGCAUGUAUACAUUGCUUCUUAAUUAAAAAUAAAUCUUGGGUCAGGUACAGUGGUUCAUGUCUAUAAUCGCAGCAGUCUGGGAGACCGAGGCAGG
rnacentral:lncRNA from 10 species